GAAAUUUUGGCCAAUUGCUUUUUGAUCAAACCCUUGAAAGCCCGAAGAACUGGAUCAAGAAAAGCCCAUCGCUCGUCUUUGUUCAGUUCAAGCCGUGCAAAGUGACAUUACGGUUUAACGCUCAGAUCGAUCGGGCAAAUGGAGGGCGAGCCUCCGGCGAAGGAGGACGUGUCGCCGGCGACGGCAGUUUUGCUCGGCGCUCUCGCUCCGGGAGUCAACGGUCCGACAUGGAACGCGCUGAAGAUGGCGUUCGUGAUGCUGGGUGGGUCCCUCGCCGUCAUGAUGGGGUUGGCCUUCUCUUCGAGCGAUUCUUGGCUGACCCUCCAUGUCUCGUUCCUCGUGAUGAUCACGCUCGCGCUGUUCUUGCUUCUUAGCUGGUUUCUCGCGCAAACCGGAUUGGUUUCAGUUGAAACUCAAAUGCAGGAUCUCAAUUUAGUGCCGAACAAUCAGACUGAGAAAGAAAAAGUUCGCUGAUGUAGUCCAUGGUCUCGUCAAGUGUAAAUGCCAGGCCUGACAAUUUUCGAGGUUACUCAUGCAUGACUUAGGAGAAGCGAGACAAGAAAAUUGUUUGAAGAACUGCAACGCCAACAAUAGGACACCCCAGAGAUCCUGAAGUAGGACAAAAUCUGUGGUAGAAGCAUCAUGAAAUUCACGACGGGGCAUCACGGAUGGCUUGUUAUCAUCUCAAGCCAUUAGCAGAUGAAUUUCCACCUGAAUAUUGCAGUCAGUCUUUUUAUCUAUACUUUUCAAGUGUUCUCAGGCUUCAAAAGUGACGAUAUCACAAACACCUGGGAGAUGGUGUUAUAAUGGAGUUGUAAUAUCACUAUUGCUAGGCAUUACUAUUCA